CAUCAAGCUGAUGUCCACCUUCUUGGGCCAGAGGAGAGACUCAACUUUGCUUUGAGCCAUUGAUGAGCUGUAAAGUGAGAUACAUAUUUGAGGACUGGAUCGAACCAGCUCACCUGCUCCACAUUGCUCAUUUCUCUCAGCAAAUCCAAGGACUCAGAAGGAACCCUUCACCAACUGCCCAUUCCCACAUGCCGACCCGCAGAGCUAACUCCAAGCUUGCACCACCCACCUUCUGUCACCACCGUCCCUUUUCUUGUC
rnacentral:lncRNA from 1 species